rnacentral:rRNA from 2 species
UAACAAAAUACGACUCUCGGCAACGGAUAUCUCGGCUCUCGCAUCGAUGAAGAACGUAGCGAACUGCGAUACUUGGUGUGAAUUGCAGAAUCCCGUGAACCAUCGAGUCUUUGAACGCAAGUUGCGCCCGAAGCCAUCAGGCCAAGGGCACGUCUGCC